AUGUACAAUAGCUGCCUGGCAGGUCUCUUCCUUCUAGCAACUCCCUGCUCCUGCAGUCCCUCCGUGACCUUCCUGAUGGGGAGAUCCUCAAGACUUUUCCCAUGAGCUCGGGGUUCCUGAGGCCCAGAAGAAGAGGACAGAGUUUUAAUGGAGACAAGAGGCAGAGAAGAAAAACUUACUGUAAAGGACAUGCAUGGAAUAAAACAGCAGUAUUUGACAAAAUACAGAAAAGACCUAAGUUCUAGCUUCAACUUGCGAAGAUGGUCUUCAGCUCAAACUUCCCCAAUUUAUUCCAACUUCUAAAGCAGUAGUCUAAGGCACUAGGACAAGAAGCAGAUGAACAUGUAUAGCCAGUAUUGGGCCACCAUGCCCGUCCCACCUAGACUCAUACCUUGUCUCAUCCACUCGACCUCGUCCUCGGUGACAAAGCUGCACAAGGCUUUUGCCAUUGCCAGUCGUAUUGCUCCAGCCUGCGCUGACCUCCCGCCCCCUGAGACUGUGCAGGUCACGUCGUGCUUUCCCAGCCGGUCAACAAAGUGGAAAGGGAACAUCAGCUGUUCUCUAAAGCACAGCACAAGGUCCUGCUACCUUCCUGGGGCCAGGUGACAUUCUACACAACCCCUGUCAGGCCUGCUCUUUCAGGGUCGGUCAGGGCCUACAAGAUCCUGGGGCAGGCACCACAGACAAAACACGGCCCUGGACUUUCUCCUGCUCAACUGAACAAGUAUUUGUUGAAUAUCAUUUUCACGCCAGAAUGUCAUUACCUUCACUUUUGCUAAAGGCCAUUCCUUGCUCAUCAUACUGUACAGGUUCAAUCAGCUGUUUUUUUGAUUCAAGAGUUACACUUCUUCGAAACCUCUGCACAAAUUCUUCCUCAGCAGCACCACACUGCGAUGUCAAUAACUUUUCUAGCAGCCGAAUGAACUGCAUAUACUGCAGACAAUAAAAAUUCAUUAGAAGGUGCAA
ensembl:lncRNA MRPS9-AS1 MRPS9 antisense RNA 1